rnacentral:rRNA from 1 species
UACUGAGUGGCGAACGGGUGAGUAACACGUGGGUGAUCUGCCCUGCACUUCGGGAUAAGCCUGGGAAACUGGGUCUAAUACCGGAUAGGAGCCAUUUUUAGUGUGAUGGUUGGAAAGUUUUUUGGUGUAGGAUGAGCUCGCGGCCUAUCAGCUUGUUGGUGGGGUAAUGGCCUACCAAGGCGGCGACGGGUAGCCGGCCUGAGAGGGUGGACGGCCACAUUGGGACUGAGAUACGGCCCAG